AGCAGUAGCCGCGGUAAUACGUAGGUGGCAAGCGUUGUCCGGAAUUAUUGGGCGUAAAGGGCUCGCAGGCGGUUUCUUAAGUCUGAUGUGAAAGCCCCCGGCUCAACCGGGGAGGGUCAUUGGAAACUGGGAAACUUGAGUGCAGAAGAGGAGAGUGGAAUUCCACGUGUAGCGGUGAAAUGCGUAGAGAUGUGGAGGAACACCAGUGGCGAAGGCGACUCUCUGGUCUGUAACUGACGCUGAGGAGCGAAAGCGUGGGGAGCGAACAGGAUUAGAUACCCCCGUAGUCCCUGUCUCUUAUAA
rnacentral:rRNA from 1 species